GCCAGGCCUGUUCCAUGCGGAG
rnacentral:piRNA from 1 species